rnacentral:lncRNA from 1 species
GCCCCGCCGCCGGCGCCCCCACCGGGCGGGCGCGCGCAGGUAGGGGGCGCGAGGGGGGCGGGGUGGAGCCGCCGGGGUCCGCGCGUCCGCGAGUCGAGACCACUGUAGUCCAGUGUCGCGGGAGCAGACUACUCGGGGAGUUGCCGGCUAUCGGGGCGCAGGUCCCUCUCCAAGCAACGCACCUCCUCGAGUUCACGGAUCCACGGGGUGCUGUGCGGGUAGCCCCUUCUCGGGACACGAGGGUUCCGUGCGACCGAACAGCAAACAGGCAGAUGCUUUACUGUCUGAGCCACCAGCGAAGUCAAGAGGGAAGCCACCAGGGAGGCUAUAGUUAAAAACUGCCAAAUCACAACACAUUAAAAGCAGCCUGAGGUGGACCCGCGCUGGAGAGAAUUGGCCCUGGAUGUCCAGGGCUCGGUGGAGAGAUUUCAGAACGGUCUGGAAAAGGUUCAGUGGAGCAGGAUGCCAGAGCCGUGGCCAUGCUGGGGUGUCCUGACCCGGUUGACCACGUGGUGAAGAGAAGGAAGCCGCAAAGGGACCCAAGCCUUCUCUCCCUCGCUCCCACCCCCUCCUCCUUCCCACUCUGUGUUCUUUAAACAAAAGGAAAGUGUUCCUUUACUACUUACAUGAUGACAGAUGUCUAUGGGUAGCCAGUCCAUCAUCACAGAUGAAAGGAUGCACGUGG